GAAUAUACCAGUAUUUACAUCGACCUUUAUGUUUACAGGUGUUCUUGUUAAUGCAACUUGUGCACAUUUUCAAGUUAUUAUACAAGAAAGAAAAAACGAAAAGGAAUAUAUCUAUCUGAUAGUUAAAGAUGUUGCUUUUCAUUCGUAUGUUUUAAAAUAGCACGCGGGUUCCCCUUCCACUUGACCACGGCUGACUGUUACGACAUGUCUUCCAUUCAUAAAUAGGGAAGCACUUGUGCGAGGGGCCAUCUUGACUACGUACUACAAUCAAGUAUCUCUUUACUUUGAUGUUUUUAACAAUAAAAUUUCAUUUUAAUUUGAAACUAGUACGCAGUGCACAGCUGAUCAGUAGUGGUCUGAACGGACGGUCGCCGCUUGUUCGUGCUUUGAAAUCUUGGAUAACGAGCGAAAAGUUACUGUUAUCCAUAUGACUGCGUGGUGCCAAUUGGAAUUUCCAUCUUUAAUACGUGGAUAAAGUUGCGGCAUUCACCAAGUGUCUGUAUCAAGUGUCCAAAGUGAACGGUUGCUGUUGCUCGUUCGUUCGACAUUUCCAAUGGUUGCCGUCCGGUAGGCCUUGCCAGGAGGAUGGGGGCGCACGAUGGGGGAGUGCCAUUGCUCUAACAUCGCUAUCAUGCAGCUGUUCCAUGAGCUGAAGCAGCAGUUCCCUGCGCUCCCUGAUCACGUCGUAUCCCAGUGCAUCGCCCAGGUGUGCGUGUGUGCGUUGCAGAACAGCCACGAUCGGGAGACAUGCGCGAGAAGCCUUCGUGCCACCCAACAGUCACGACAGUCUCCGGGCGCGUUUCCUCCGGCGGCACUUUGCAGUCUUCUUCAACAGCAACAGCAGCAGCAGCAACAACAACAACAACAACAACAAUCACCAAUGAAACAAUCGCAACAAACUGGCACGAACAACAACGCGCGACCACACAGGCCAUCCUCGUUGGACAUCGGUAUGGCACGACGCUGUCCUGUCAGCUGUACACGAGCCACCGCUAAUUCAGCCAUCCCUUCUUCAGCACCAGCCGCGUGCACAACACGCGGUUUCUUCGACGAUUGCGACGCGAAUUGCGCGAACAAAGUUAAGAACACGGCCAACGAGCCAGCUGGAUUCGAGCUGAACGUGAACGUUGCCUGUAGUCCUGCUGGUAAUCGCGACUUUCGAACGGUACCUACGAUUGCUGGUGCCUGUAAACGAAGCGAUCUCGUCCUCGAUCCACCAACGCAUUACGCAGAGUCUUUAUUGAACGUGGAGAAGACAGGGCCGCAGAUCGAUCAUACUCGAAGCUACACGUCGGUUAGCCUGACGUUGAGGCCACCAUCCUCGGAACCACAACCACCGAUCGACAUAAGAUCGCAGGGCUCGAGUUUGACUUACUCGAGCUCUUCUUUGGAUCCUCGGGGUUUUCAAAGUCGUCUGCAAAUCAGCAUCGGCGCAGGAGCCGUUGGCAGUGUAGCGGCUGCAAGGAUAAGACCGCCGAUGGGCUCCAACAGGCUGAACAGGCCCAACAGCUUGAUACCACCGGUACAACAAACCGGUCCGCAAAGGCCACCAGGUCUUCCAGCAGGACCACCUAGUCAAUUACCAAGGCCGACGACGACGAUGAGCGCCCCAACCACACCCUCCGUUCCAUCGACAACCAAUAUCGUUCCUCCUACUACAAGCCUUCCAACCACACCGUCAGCACCGACAACGACGACCUCGCCACCCUCUAGUCCCCUUGGCGAACGGAUACAAACCAAUUCCGAUCAGAAUCGAUCGCCUUUCAAUCAAGUGGCGGAGCACCAAAGGAGAUUGGUUGCAGAACAAUUAGCUAGAAAAGACAAACUCGCCAGGGAAUUGAAGGCCGAGAAAGGACGACUCGAAGCGAUGAAGAAGGAGCUGCAAUCUCUCUCGAGGCCCUUCGAUUCUUCGAUGCCGCCUCAAGAGUUAAAGAAAAAAUUAAGAAGCGAGAUAUAUCAAUUGCAAGUAGAAUGCGAUAGACUCGCGGAAGAAGUGGAUCGCUGGUCGGAUCUAAGAGUGCCGUUGGGUGAAACAAACGAAAAAUUUUAUCAGCACAUUUACACAGGUCAACCCUUACCCUCCAGGUCUACCAGUUCGAAUCCACCUCCUCCUUUACCAAGCCAGCCACCUGCCUGGCAACCAGAACUCACCGGAAACAACGACACGGACGAACGAGACGGCCCUUCUUGGAUCUGCAGAAUGUGUACGUUUAAGAAUCAUCCGUUGAUGAACAAAUGCGAGCAGUGCGACAUGCCCAGGCUAUUGGAUCACGGAAAUACAGGUACGACUUGUCGAAAAUCGAUCGAUCAUCUUGCGACCUCGUUAAUUCGUUUGGACGUCGAUCAACUACCACCUCCGCCGUCGCCGUCGCCGUCGCCGUCGCCGUCGCCGUCACGACCGGAAUCGUAAAAAAAAAGCUGCCUUAAGCCUUAACAGCAUGUGUCUUUGGUUUUGGAUGAAACAAGUUAUUUUCUAGCAAACAAGAGAAUAACAAUCUCCUACCCUCUGGUUCGAGCAGAGUGGAUGUUUUACGCUUGGACACACUGUGAUGAUGCGCGCAACCAAAGUUGAUAUUUUAUCAUUGUAAGAUAUUCCAUGUAUCGACCGCCGCGCCGUUACGAUACCUUUUAACUAUCAUAUAAAUAAUAAAUUUAAAUAUGGCGCAUGUUAUUUUCUCAUUAAUUUAACCACGUCUAAUUUAGCACGUAUUUUUAUUCAAAUGUUAUUAUUAAUCAUUUUUACAUUGCCGAGCUGUCUUGUCUUUUUACGCAUUAUACUUAACACAAGUUGACGAUCACGCAACAAAAAGUUUUAUGGAUAGAAAUUGGCGAAACGCAAGAUAUUCAUAUACGAGUUACGCAUCAUCACAACUUUUCACCAAGUCGAACGGUGCACAGUUGGGUGGUAUGACGCGAACUGCAUUAGAAAUUUGAAAAACUGUAUAUAAAAUCAUCAUUUAAAUUAAAUAAAAAGUCGUAAUUGACAGAGUACGAAAGAAAAGCACAAGUUUCAAUGAUUAAAUUCAGUGUAAGUUUUUUCUUUUUUUCAUCAUUAUUUUUAUUAUUAUUUACGGUGAUGUACAUUAUAUUUAAAAGUAAUAUACUUUAGUAAUAAUUAAAAUUAUAUAUAAACUGAAUCUGAAUUUAAAGAUCGCAAUCACCGUGACACGAAAUGUACCAUCUGCACUUAUAAUUACUAAAUAAUACCAACAAAUUAUCAGUAGUUUGACACCUAUUUGUAUCAGUUUUGACAUACUAUUUAAAAUACAAGUUAUUUGUAGUAA